AAACAUUGUAUUAGUUUAUUUAAUAUAGGAUCUGCUCAAUGAAUUAAAUAGCUGCAGUAUCUUGACUGUGCAAAGGUAGCGUAGUAAUUAGUCUUUUAAUUGGGGACUUGUAUGAAAGAUUUGAUGAGAAAUUAUUAUUUAUAAAAAUUUUAUUUUUAAGUAAAAAAGCUUAAAUUUUUUAAAGGGACGAUAAGACCCUAUAAAACUUUAUAAUGAGAAUAUUUAUUGGGGUGAUAAAAAAAUAACUUUUUUUUCAAUUUAAUGAAUUUUGAAUUAAAUAAUUAAAGGAAAAAGUUACUUUAGGGAUAACAGCGUAAUUAAUUUUUUAAGUUCAAAUUUAAAAAUUAGUUUGCGACCUCGAUGUUGAAUUGAUUAGGCUUAGGUGCAAAAUUUAAGUU
rnacentral:rRNA from 1 species